rnacentral:tRNA from 1 species
CGGGAUGUAGCUUAGCCUGGUAGAGCGCCUGCUUUGGGAGCAGGAGGUCGCUGGUUCGAAUCCAGUCAUCCCGACCA